rnacentral:lncRNA from 1 species
UCACCGAGAUUCCAAGGGGAAACGUGGCACGUGAAACAAUUUCUUUACUAUGUGAUAAAUUUGCAGACUUCUUUUGUGUAUGUUGUGACAUUGGAGCCUUAAACCACUCAAGAAGAUAUGCAUAAAAGGGUCAUUAUCUCUGCUUUGUAGAUAAGCUAACCCAGAGCUAAUCCAGAGAAGCAAAUUAUUGGCCUGGGGUCCUACAGUUUGUAAGUGGCAGGGAAGAGACUCAAAUCCAGUGUCCUGAAUCCAAGCAAGAUGGUUUUGCUCUUCCAUUCGGCUGCUUUCUCCCUGCUAUCAACUGAAUAUGUACCCCCCCCCCAGAAUUUAUCUAUUGAAACCUAAUGCCCAAUGUGAUAAUAUUGGGAGGUGGGGCCUUUAGGAGGUGAUAAGGUCAUGAGGAUGGAUCCCUCAUGAAUGGGAUUAGUGCCCUUAUCACAUGGAGAAACCUUGUCUCUACUAAAAAUACAAAAUUAGCUGGAUGUGUUGGCGCAUGCCUGUAAUCCCAGCUCCUCAGGAGGCUGAGGCAGGAGAAUCACUUGAACCUGGGAGGGUGAGGUUGUGGUGAGCCAAGAUCAUGCCAUUGCACUCCAGCCUGGGCAACAAUAGCAAAAUUCCAUCUCAAAAAAAAAAAAAAAAAAAAAAGGCCCCACUAAGUGGCCUCACCCAUCUACCAUGUGAGGACACGGGGAGAGGAUGGCCAUCUAUGGACCUGAAUUUAGGCCCUCACCAGGAACUGGAUCUGCUGGCACCUUGAUUUUUGGACUUCUUCAAUCUCUUUAUUAGUGAAAAUUGUGACGUCUGAAAUGUAUCAAAUUGGAGUUGGAGUUUCUAAUGAAGAAUUUCAGCAAGCCAGAGGCUUCCUGAUAACAUGCAAAUCACAGAGAACAUGUCUGCCUGGCCAGCUCCUAGCUCUGUUUCACCCCACAGCAAAACCAAGGAGUCUCCUUUUUUCUUUACAUUAUCCCCAUGUAAGACAUUACAGAGUGGAGAAAAAAAAACCUCUACUUUGAAGAGCUAAGGGCUUAUGUUUUGGAAAAUUGUUCUUGGACAUUGCUUUAAAUAUUGUGUAUCUUAAUUGGUAUUUGUGGUAUAUCUUGCUAAACCAUCCAAAAGGCUCAGUUAAAACUCAGAAUGAAAAGUUGUCAGAGAAGAAUUAUAAAUUUCUAUUAAAAUAGCAAUUGUAAAUGAUUAUUAUGUUUAAGUAACAUGAUUAGAUAAAUUUAAAGAAUAGAACAAAAAUGUUAUCCCCAACAACCAGAUAACCCAUGUUGGAUAUAAAUACAGCAAUGGGUGCAUGGAUGGAUGGAUGAAUGGGAACUACAGUGCACAUAUCUUAAAUUAUUCAAAUAGUCCAGAAAGGAAUGAAAUGAAAUGCAAAAAUCUCUCUCUCCAUCCCUCCUGCAAACCUGACUCCUCAUCUCCCCCUAAAGCUACACUUUGCUAACAGUUCCAUGUGUAUCUCACCAAGAAAACAACAUUUUUUACACUGAUAUACUAAGUGGGUGGAGUUUUUAAUCCCCAUUUUACAGAUGAGAAAACUGAGACAAGAGAGCCUAAGCAAGUUUCCCAAUCCACGCAGUUGGUAUGUCAGGAUGCAGACCCAGGGACUAGCUCCAGAGUCUACAGUCAACCACUGCACGAUGUCCAUGAGAACAACAAAGUCAGGUAUGAAACAGGAUGUGGCUUGCCUUGUGAAAAGCACUCGCUGCCAUUACAAGCCCUCACUAUGUGCUAGACACACUCCUGGGCACUUUUCAUAUUUGUCUCCUUAGUGAUUUAACUCAUUUACCUACUUGCAAGGACAUUUUUCUUUUCAGAGGAAGGUCGUUGAGGUCUCCCUUGACAGAAGCGCCACUGUCUUUCUGAGCGGGUAGGUCCACCUUGAUCGUCCAAGCUCUGACGCUGGGUGGCUUCGAUCCAGAGUGUCCCGGGGUGUGGCUGGAGGGUGGAUAUAGGAUUCGGAGCCAUGCUGAUAACAUGCUGGUAACAUGGAGUUUCCCAGGGACAAGGGACGAGGUGACCUACCAGGUCUCUCUCCGUCAGCCUCAGAGCCCACAGGGCUGGGCAGUGGUGGGCUGGGCAAGGGGAAGGAAAUUCAUCUCUGGAAACUGCCCUCCUGGAGGCCACCUGCUGCACAAACAGCACCAUGGAUGCAACGUGUCCCCACCCCUUGCACGCCAGCCCUGCACACUCCGCCCACGUCUCUACACCAUCCUGAAGAGAUGUCAUCUCGUCCUCUCGUGGUU